rnacentral:rRNA from 1 species
AUGGCGCUGCGGAUGGCGGCGGCGGCGUUCGUGCGGCGCCUGGCGCCGGCGCGCCCCCCGGCGCUCCUGGCGGAGGGGGAGGCCGUGACGUGCGGGCGCGGGGACAAGAAGACCAAGCGCGGGAAGCGGUUCAAGGGCUCCUACGGCAACUCGCGGCCGAAGCGGGAGAAGAAGAUCGAGCGCAUCAAGGACCGCGUCGAGGUGCCCCGCUCCACCCCGUGGCCCCUCCCCUUCAAGCUCAUCUGA